rnacentral:rRNA from 1 species
UGGGGAAUAUUGCACAAUGGGCGCAAGCCUGAUGCAGCCAUGCCGCGUGUAUGAAGAAGGCCUUCGGGUUGUAAAGUACUUUCAGUCGGGAGGAAGGUGUCAAGGUUAAUAACCUUGGCAAUUGACGUUACCGACAGAAGAAGCACCGGCUAACUCCGUGCCAGCAGCCGCGGUAAUACGGAGGGUGCAAGCGUUAAUCGGAAUUACUGGGCGUAAAGCGCACGCAGGCGGUUGAUUGAGUCAGAUGUGAAAUCCCCGGGCUUAACCCGGGAAUUGCAUCUGAUACUGGUCAGCUAGAGUGUUGUAGAGGGGGGUAGAAUUCAAUGUGUAGCGGUGAAAUGCGUAGAGAUGUGGAGGAAUACCGGUGGCGAAGGCGGCCCCCUGGACAAAGACUGACGCUCAGGUGCGAAAGCGUGGGGAGCAAACAGG